CUAAUCUCAGCCAAAAUGUUUUCCCUUUUGGUUAGGCUGGGAGAGCCUCAAAGCCUUGCAAAGGAAGGGCUUCAUCAUUUUUAGAAUGUAGUCACAAUGAAUAUUAAAAACCCAACUAAAAACUAACAGAGCAGAGUCAGUCCACGAAGGGCUUUGUCAAGCCGCAUUCUCUGAGAGGUAUUUUAGUUAUAGGGGGUCCACUCCAAGGAAACCACUGGGUUUGGAAGAAUGCAGUCACGGACCUCAUGCAGCUCAGGUUAUUGAGAGUUUUAAUUCAUGGAGGAAGAGCUAUAACAUGCUUAGUCAGGUUUUUUGUUUGUUUGUUUGGAAGAAAAAAUAUAUGGUCUUUGGGGACCCAAUUAUCUAGAGAAAGACUUAACUCCGCUACAAGAAAACUAGCUGAGGAGAGUUACCAUAAAUCAUGGGUUAGAUGGAGAGUGGAAUUGAAUAAUGUGACAGCAAGACUCUGGGAAUACCAAUCUUCAUGAGGGAGAGGAUUUGAAGAGGGAUCCCAUCAUGAAACUAAAUGGGGAGUAUGGUUGAUUGGUGGUCAGGCCCUUGGAAUUCAAAUUCCUGAGGGAUGUAGAGCCCUGUUCUGUUUGAGCAGCCACAUCGAUCUGCAGAACCGCAGGCUGACAAAAAGAAUGUGGAGACAAUGUAUUUUAUUAUAUUCCACCUAUCUCUUCAGGGUGCUUUCACACCAUUAUAUCCUCACUACCACCUGGUGAUGUAGGUAAGUUAGAACUGAUCCUAAGAGAGACAGUGACUAAGAGAACAGGUUCUAGAGUCACCAAGACCUGGGUUUGGUUCCUGUCUCUGUCUUGCUAGUGGAAUGUUUGUGCAAUCUACAUAGCCUGUGUUUGUGGUUCUCUACUUCAGAGGACAUUAGGCAACGUGGAGAUAUUUUUGAUUGUCACAACUGGAGGAGGGCCAUUAGCAUCUAGUGGAUAGAGGCCAGGGAUACUGCUCAACAUCCUACAAUGCACAGAACAGCCCCCCACCACAAAGAAUUGUUCAGUCCAAAAUGUCAAUAGUGCCACUGUUGAGAAACGCUGGGUCCUAUCUGAUUCUCAGUCUCUUUGUCUGUAGAAUGGGGAUAUCAACAUUAUCUCACUGGGUUAUUGUGAAGGGUAGAUUAAAUAACAGUUGACAUUGGAUUGUCUGUUCUUCCACCAUCCCUUCCCCCUCUUCAAGGAACUGCCCUCACAGGACUUUACAUCUCUACAGAAUUAGAUUUCUACGGGCUGAAUGCCAAUAACCUACAGUUCCAUCUAGUUUCAUGAUGUUUGUCCCUAGCAGGCAUUUUGCGUAGUAUGACUCUGCCCCUUUGCCACAGUUGACUGGGUCAGGGGUGGACACUCGAUCCAAACCAAAGCAGUCAGAAUUCUCUCCCCAGGAAACUUUGUAAUUUGCACUGAGAGUCAAGUCUGCUAGGGUCUUGAAUGGAGAAGGUACAAACCUGGGAGUUGUGGGUGGCCAUUUUCUCCCAUGUGGUCGGGGGUGCAGUUUAUAACAAAAGAGAAAAUUGCAACAAUUAUGGAGAGAAAGGCAUCCAGAAGAGACCCAGUUCCCAGAGUCUGUGUCCUGGCUGCUCCCUGCCCUUAGGCCCCGUAGCCCAUUUCUACAUCCUUGUAAGACUUUCUGCUUAACCUGGCUUCGGUUAUGUGUGUCUCAUGUCCAAGAGACACAUAAUAACCAGCGAGAACAUAUGUAACAGCACUUGGCAUGGUGCCCGGGAAUUAAGCCCCGAAUAAGUGGCAAUUAUUAUUAUCAUCCCAUAUUAGAGAUAAAAAAGUUGACACCGAGAGAUUAAAUAAUUUGUCUCGUUGUCACACAGCUCUUUAGCAGUAAAGGUGAUCUGAAAUCCGGGUCUCCUCACAUCUAGACUGAGGUUCUGUUCUGUCUGUUCUUUAAAUUGUGAAAUAAAACUUUCAGAAUAGCGCAUGGGUAGCUAAGUAUCUAGGUGUAGUUAAAAAUAACUCGCAGUGAACCUUGGUGUAUCUCACCCAGGACAGGAACUAGAAAACUGGCUGUAGCUUGGAAGACCGCCCUGUGCCUCUCCCUGCCAGAGUGGAUUUAUCCAAGCUACUGGUGACGUGCAUUAGACCCCAGGCCUGUUCAGUCCUCCGGAAGUGCCCCUUGCUCUCCUGGUGAAGAUCUGGACGAUGAUGCACCAGUGAAGGAGUGGAGAAUGGACUUUCCAAAGUCCAUGGGCAAACCCAUCACAGAAAUACAAAGAAGUGAUACAUUCACAUAGAAAAUCUUCCCAUUCUUGCCCUCAUCUGCAGAGACACCCUCUCGGCAUGCUGCAGUCUAGGUACAAGAAAAACAUCAGACAAAUAUAGUAGAGGGGUGCCAUACAAUGUACCUGUUCAGUAGUCCUCAAAACUGUCAGAAUCAUCAAAACCAAGGACAGUCUGAGAAACUGUCACAGCCAAGAGGAGCCUAAGGAGCAUAUAUGGUGACUAAAUGUGAAGUAGUAUUCUGAAUGGAAUCCUGGAAUACAAAAAGGACAUUAGGUAAACUGAGGAAAUCUGGAUAAACUGUGGACUUAUAAUGAUGAUGUGUCAAUAUUCGUACAUUAAUUGUAACAAAUGUACCACAUUAACAUAAGGUGUUAAUAUUCACCGCAGGAGGUAUAUGGAAACUCUGUAUUAUUUUCUCCAAUUUUCUGUAAAUCUGAAACUGUUCCAAAACACAAGGUCUAUUAAGUUUUGUUCUACUCAUAAAGGUA